AUGAACGCUAGCUACAGGCUUAACACAUGCAAGUCGAGGGGCAGCAUGGUCUUAGCUUGCUAAGGCCGAUGGCGACCGGCGCACGGGUGAGUAACGCGUAUCCAACCUGCCUUACACUCUUGGACAGCCUUCUGAAAGGGAGAUUAAUACAAGAUGUUAUCAUGAGUAAGCAUUUUCGCAUGAUUAAAGGUUUACCGGUGUAAGAUGGGGAUGCGUUCCAUUAGAUAGUAGGCGGGGUAACGGCCCACCUAGUCUUCGAUGGAUAGGGGUUCUGAGAGGAAGGUCCCCCACAUUGGAACUGAGACACGGUCCAAACUCCUACGGGAGGCAGCAGUGAGGAAUAUUGGUCAAUGGACGAGAGUCUGAACCAGCCAAGUAGCGUGAAGGAUGAAGGUUCUAUGGAUUGUAAACUUCUUUUAUACGGGAAUAAACGGAUCCACGUGUGGAUUUUUGCAUGUACCGUAUGAAUAAGGAUCGGCUAACUCCGUGCCAGCAGCCGCGGUAAUACGGAGGAUCCGAGCGUUAUCCGGAUUUAUUGGGUUUAAAGGGAGCGUAGAUGGGUUGUUAAGUCAGUUGUGAAAGUUUGCGGCUCAACCGUAAAAUUGCAAUUGAUACUGGCAGUCUUGAGUACAGUUGAGGUAGGCGGAAUUCGUGGUGUAGCGGUGAAAUGCUUAGAUAUCACGAAGAACUCCGAUUGCGAAGGCAGCUUACUAACCUGUAACUGACAUUGAUGCUCGAAAGUGUGGGUAUCAAACAGGAUUAGAUACCCUGGUAGUCCACACGGUAAACGAUGAAUACUCGCUGUAGGCGAUAUACAGUCUGCGGCCAAGCGAAAGCAUUAAGUAUUCCACCUGGGGAGUACGCCGGCAACGGUGAAACUCAAAGGAAUUGACGGGGGCCCGCACAAGCAGUGGAGUAUGUGGUUUAAUUCGAAGCAACGCGAAGAACCUUACCAGGGCUUGACAUCCUACUAACGAAGUAGAGAUACAUCAGGUGCCCUUCGGGGAAAGUAGAGACAGGUGGUGCAUGGUUGUCGUCAGCUCGUGCCGUGAGGUGUCGGCUUAAGUGCCAUAACGAGCGCAACCCUUGCCGAUAGUUACUAACAGGUCAUGCUGAGGACUCUGUCGGGACUGCCAUCGUAAGAUGUGAGGAAGGUGGGGAUGACGUCAAAUCAGCACGGCCCUUACGUCCGGGGCUACACACGUGUUACAAUGGGGGGUACAGAGGGCUGCUACCACGCAAGUGGAUGCCAAUCCCAAAAACCUCUCUCAGUUCGGAUUGAAGUCUGCAACCCGACUUCAUGAAGCUGGAUUCGCUAGUAAUCGCGCAUCAGCCACGGCGCGGUGAAUACGUUCCCGGGCCUUGUACACACCGCCCGUCAAGCCAUGGGAGCCGGGGGUACCUGAAGUGCGUAACCGCAAGGAGCGCCCUAGGGUAAAACUGGUGACUGGGGCU
rnacentral:rRNA from 1 species